GACGAACGCUGGCGGCGUGCUUAACACAUGCAAGUCGAACGGUGAAGGGACUGGUUUUGCUGGUCCUGGAUGAGUGGCGAACGGGUGAGUAACACGUGAGUAACCUGCCCCCUUCUUCUGGAUAACCGCAUGAAAGUGUGGCUAAUACGGGAUAUUCUGGGUCUGUCGCAUGGUGGGCCUGGGAAAGAUUGCGCCUUUUUUGGUGUUUUUGGUGGGGGAUGGGCUCGCGGCCUAUCAGCUUGUUGGUGGGGUGAUGGCCUACCAAGGCGGUGACGGGUAGCCGGCCUGAGAGGGUGGACGGUCACACUGGGACUGAGACACGGCCCAGACUCCUACGGGAGGCAGCAGUGGGGAAUAUUGCACGAUGGGCGCAAGCCUGAUGCAGCGACGCCGCGUGAGGGAUGGAGGCCUUCGGGUUGUGAACCUCUUUCGCCAGUGAAGCAGGCCUGCCUCUUUUUGUGGGUGGGUUGACGGUAGCUGGAUAAGAAGCGCCGGCUAACUACGUG
rnacentral:rRNA from 1 species